GACGAACGCUGGCGGCGUGCCUAAUACAUGCAAGUAGAACGCUGAAGAGAGGAGCUUGCUCUUCUUGGAUGAGUUGCGAACGGGUGAGUAACGCGUAGGUAACCUGCCUUGUAGCGGGGGAUAACUAUUGGAAACGAUAGCUAAUACCGCAUAACAAUGGAUGACCCAUGUCAUUUAUUUGAAAGGGGCAAAUGCUCCACUACAAGAUGGACCUGCGUUGUAUUAGCUAGUAGGUGAGGUAACGGCUCACCUAGGCGACGAUACAUAGCCGACCUGAGAGGGUGAUCGGCCACACUGGGACUGAGACACGGCCCAGACUCCUACGGGAGGCAGCAGUAGGGAAUCUUCGGCAAUGGGGGCAACCCUGACCGAGCAACGCCGCGUGAGUGAAGAAGGUUUUCGGAUCGUAAAGCUCUGUUGUAAGUCAAGAACGAGUGUGAGAGUGGAAAGUUCACACUGUGACGGUAGCUUACCGGAAAGGGACGGCUAACUACGUG
rnacentral:rRNA from 1 species